AUGGAAGCAUGGGCAUUAGAGUUAGGCGUUAUAUGCUUGGUAGCUUCGAAUAUAUGCAGAGAUAAUUUUUUAGAUCUUGUUUCAUUCCAUGGUUUCUUGAUGUAUGAGUUAGUUUUACAUAAAAUAGAGCCUGAAUCCGUGAUUUACGCAAGCAAACGAGUCAGUAGGGUAGAUUUGAUGUAUUUCCGUCGAGGUUCAGAUUCGAUGGCUCCUCCUACAACACUAGGUGUGCAAAUUCACAAUAUUUUCAUAUACAUUUUAUUCAAAUGA